UUGAAGUGAGAAUGGAAAUUUUCAUAUCGGCAUCUUUAUAUAAGGCCUUCUCUGUCUUUGAAAUAGGGCCAAAAAUAAGCAAACAUGCAGUCAUCGAUGCUGAUGCAACACGAUUGACGCUUGUGGCCGCCGGCUGGAGGGCUUUCAGGCAAAGGACAAUGGUGGCGUGCAAGGACAACCAAGGAGAUCACCUCCACCUACUUUCGGCUGUUUGUGUGCAGGUCUCUCUUCAUUGGUGAACUAUUUGAUCUGCAUCCCAUCUGAAUGGGUACAUUACACAUCCGGCUUCAGCCAUUAGCUCUGCUCUGGUAGAACCUAUUGCUCACCCCACAAUCUGAUAGUACAACAUUUAGCUCACUCCACAAUUUGAUAGUACAACAUUUUGCAUAUACCAACAAAACCUCCAUGUUCAGUUGUAGUUGUAGUGUAGUAGUUCGUCGCUGAAUUGUGUUGCCCUUUGCUUCUGGAUAUAGAACUACAUAUCACAUGGACCUCUCCCUGAAAGCAAGCAAACAUUUGUUACUUGUGAUGUGUGGCUUGUCAUUUCUCUUUUAGAAUUUUAGAAAUGGUACAAGCAUACAAGUUAAUGUAAAAGGGUUAAUAAGAACUACACAAAUGGAGGCAAAGUUUAGUUGAACAAUUUUUGUCGCUAAUGUAUUUUGUCUUGUAUACUAUAUUGUCGUGUUUUUAUGUAAUUGGGAUUUUGUUCUGAAAGAAAAUAAAUAUAGAUGUGUUAAGUU